GGUGAAGAGAAAACGCAUCAAGGUCAGGAAGAAAACCAGGACCAUGAGAGGUUACAGAGGCUGCAGGAAGAAACCGAAGGAGGACAAGGUACUGGUUUCCCUUCUGCACAGCACAAAACAGAGGCUUGUCAAUAUCAUCAGCUUUUGCAGGCUCUUAAGACAAGAUGCCUCAGGUGAAGACUCCAACCCAGAAGCUG